UACAGAGGUGCCAAGCGUUAGGCGGAAUCACUGGGCUUAAAGCGUGUGUAGGCGGACUUGUAAGUACCUUGUGAAAUCCCACGGCUCAACCGUGGAACUGCUCGGUAUACUGCUUGUCUUGAGCCACUUAGGGGCUGGCGGAACAAACGGUGGAGCGGUGAAAUGCGUAGAUAUCUGGAGGAAUACCGAUGGCGAAGGCGGUGCUCUGGGCCGAGACUGACGCUGAGGAGCGAAAGCGUGGGGAGCGAACAGG
rnacentral:rRNA from 1 species